AAGUCGUAACAAGGUUUCCGUAGGUGAACCUGCGGAAGGAUCAUUAACGAUGUUCAAAGGAUGUGCUGGCGUUCGUUCGCAUGUGCACUCCUUAACACAACCACACACACCUGUGAACCUCGAACCGCAUCCCUUAGGGGUUGUGCGUUCAACCUUUACAAAACCCAUUUGAUGAUAGCUCUGGAACGAGACGCUAAAAGUUAAAACAACCAUCAGCAACGGAUCUCUUGGCAUUCCAAUCGAUGAAGAACGUAGCGAAUUGCGAUAAGUAAUGUGAAUUGCAGAAUUCAGUGAAUCAUCGAAUCUUUGAACGCACCUUGCACCCUCUGGUAUUCCGGAGGGUAUGCCCGGUUGAGUGUCAUGAAUAUCUCAACUCCAAUGUUUUGUCAAGGUCUUGUCGACUCGUCCUGCUGGCCUAGCGAGGCUGCUGUGACUGUUGCGAGGCUGAAGCGUUGGAGCUUGGACUCGAGCUCUGUUGGCCUUCUCAGGUUGACUGGCUAGAAAUGCAUCAGCGAUGACGUCCCUUGGGUCCAUCUCGGCGUGAUAAGUUGAUCGUCGCAAAGGUCCUUGGGUUGGCUCGCUCCUAAUGGUCUUCGGACAGCCUCUGACGUUUACACCUCAACUCGGGUAGGACUACCCGCUGAACUUAAGCAUAUCAAUAAGCGGAGGACCUUGGUCAUUUAGAGGAAGUAA
rnacentral:rRNA from 1 species